GAUGAACGCUAGCGGCAGGCCUAAUACAUGCAAGUCGAGGGGUAGAAGAGGCUUGCUUCUUUGAGACCGGCGUACGGGUGCGUAACGCGUAUGCAACCUACCUUCAUCUGGGGGAUAGCCCGGAGAAAUCCGGAUUAAUACCGCAUAAAAUCACAGGAUGGCAUUAUCCAAUGAUCAAACAUUUAUGGGAUGGAGAUGGGCAUGCGUGUCAUUAGCUAGUUGGCGGGGUAACGGCCCACCAAGGCGACGAUGACUAGGGGAUCUGAGAGGAUGGCCCCCCACACUGGUACUGAGACACGGACCAGACUCCUACGGGAGGCAGCAGUAAGGAAUAUUGGUCAAUGGAGGCAACUCUGAACCAGCCAUGCCGCGUGCAGGAAGACUGCCCUAUGGGUUGUAAACUGCUUUUAUUCGGGAAUAAACCUUAUUACGUGUAAUAAGCUGAAUGUACCGAAGGAAUAAGGAUCGGCUAACUUCGUGCCAGCAGCCGCAGUAA
rnacentral:rRNA from 1 species